rnacentral:rRNA from 1 species
CCCUUAGAUGUUCUGGGCCGCACACGCGCUACACUGAAGGAGGCAGCGUGUACUCCUGGAUCGAAAGAUUUGGGUAACCCGCUAAUCUCCUUCGUGCUAGGGAUUGAGGUUUGCAAUUAUCCUUCAUGAACGAGGAAUUCCCAGUAAGUGCAAGUCAUAAGCUUGCGCUGACUACGUCCCUGCCCUUUGUACACACCGCCCGUCGCUACUACCGAUUGAAUGAUUUAGUGAGGACUUCGGACUGGGACCGAUGCGGCUUUCGGGCUGCGUCGGUAUUCUGGAAAGAUGUCCAAACUGUAUCAUUUAGAGGAAGUAAAAGUCGUAACA